GCUCACUUUGGUGGAACAUACAAUAAAAUUGGAAAGAUACAGAGAUUAGCAUGACCCCCUGCACAAAGAUGACACGCGCAUUCAUGAAACUGUCCAUAAAAAA
ensembl:snRNA U6 U6 spliceosomal RNA